rnacentral:rRNA from 1 species
AGUGAACGCUGGCGGUAGGCCUAACACAUGCAAGUCGAACGGCAGCACAGUAAGAGCUUGCUCUUACGGGUGGCGAGUGGCGGACGGGUGAGGAAUACAUCGGAAUCUACUUUUUCGUGGGGGAUAACGUAGGGAAACUUACGCUAAUACCGCAUACGACCUACGGGUGAAAGCAGGGGAUCUUCGGACCUUGCGCGAUUGAAUGAGCCGAUGUCGGAUUAGCUAGUUGGCGGGGUAAAGGCCCACCAAGGCGACGAUCCGUAGCUGGUCUGAGAGGAUGAUCAGCCACACUGGAACUGAGACACGGUCCAGACUCCUACGGGAGGCAGCAGUGGGGAAUAUGGGACAAUGGGCGCAAGCCUGAUCCAGCCAUAUCGCGUGGGUGAAGAAGGCCUUCGGGUUGUAAAGCCCUUUUGUUGGGAAAGAAAAGCAGCAGGUUAAUACCCCGCUGUUCUGACGGUACCCAAAGAAUAAGCACCGGCGAACUUCGU